rnacentral:rRNA from 1 species
GUGCCAGCAGCCGCGGUAAGACGAACCGUGCGAACGUUGUUCGGAUUCACUGGGCUUAAAGGGCGCGUAGGCGGGGGUUCAAGUCGGUGGUGAAAUCUUUCGGCCCAACCGGAAAAUCGCCUCCGAUACUGGAUCUCUUGAGGGGGGUAGGGGCAUGCGGAACUUCGGGUGGAGCGGUGAAAUGCGUAGAUAUCCGAAGGAACGCCGGUGGCGAAAGCGGCGUGCUGGACCCUUUCUGACGCUGAGGCGCGAAAGCCAGGGGAGCAAACGGGAUUAGAUACCCCGGUAGUCC